UUGAACGCUGGCGGCAUGCUUUACACAUGCAAGUCGAACGGUAACAGGCCUUCGGGCGCUGACGAGUGGCGAACGGGUGAGUAAUGCAUCGGAACGUGCCCAGAGGUGGGGGAUAACGCAGCGAAAGCUGUGCUAAUACCGCAUAUUAUCUGAGGAUGAAAGCGGGGGACUAAGCAGCAAUGUUUGGCCUCGCGCCUUUGGAGCGGCCGAUGUCAGAUUAGGUAGUUGGUGGGGUAAAGGCCUACCAAGCCGACGAUCUGUAGCUGGUCUGAGAGGACGACCAGCCACACUGGGACUGAGACACGGCCCAGACUCCUACGGGAGGCAGCAGUGGGGAAUUUUGGACAAUGGGCGCAAGCCUGAUCCAGCAAUGCCGCGUGCAGGAAGAAGGCCUUCGGGUUGUAAACUGCUUUUGUACGGAACGAAAAGGCUCUGGUUAAUACCUGGGGCUCAUGACGGUACCGUAAGAAUAAGCACCGGCUAACUACGUG
rnacentral:rRNA from 1 species